GCGGGUAUAGUUUAGUGGUCAAAUGACUGCUUCCCAAGCAGUAGUCACGGGUUCGAUUCCCGUUACCCGCUCCA
rnacentral:tRNA from 1 species